rnacentral:lncRNA from 10 species
AAAAAAGGAAAGAAAGAAAAAGAAAAGAAAGAGAAAUGAAGGAAGGAAAGAAAGAAAAGAAACAAGGAAGGAGAGAGGAAGGAAGGACGGAGGGAAGGAAGGAAAGAAAAGAAAGAGCUGGGAGCGGUGGCUCACACCUGUAAUCCCAGCACUUUGGGAGGCUGAGGCAGGCUGAUCACCUGAGGUCGGGAGUUCAGACCAACCUGACCAACGUGGAGAAACCCCGUCUCUACUAAAAAUAGAAAAUUAGCCAGGCGAGGUGGUGCAUCCCUGUAAUCCCAGCUACUUGAGCGGCUGAGGCAGGAGAAUCGCUUGAGCCCGAAAGGCGGAGGUUGCAGUGAGCUGAGAUCACGCCAUUGCACUCCAGUCUGGGCAACAGGAGUGAAACUCUGUCAAAAAAAAAAAGGGAGAGAGAGAGAAGGGAGGGAGGGAGGGACGCAAGGAGGGAAAAGAGAAAGAAAGAGAAAGAAAGAAAGGAAAGAAAAAGAGAGAAAGAAAGGAAGGAAGGAAAGAUGAAGGAAAAUUGAGGCUGAGGAUCUGAGAUAGUCUGUAUAUGUAGCAACCUCUUUCGGCCACCACAUGGUUUUACUCCCUCAAUCUGCAGAGCUGUGCAGCAUUCUACUCCAAUGAUCAAGGACUCAGAAGAUCUUGUAUCUGGAAACUCAUGCUCCACCUGCAGCAGACCAGAGACCCUGGGGAAAUUCAUUUUGUUACACAGAAGCAGCCCUUUGUAGGGAGAGAGCAGUGAGGACAGUCCCUACAAUAGUGGCUGGGAGAUAAUGGCAGAGCUCAGGAUCCCUGUCCUCUACUGGGGAGAAAGGCAUGUAAGAAGAUGAGAAUGCCGAGUGUUAAAUGAGAAGGUAAAUGCACAGAGAAGGGGCACCAGAACCAGGACAAAGGGGUAGGACAGGCAUUCUAGGGAGAGGGGACAGCGUGUAAUCAAUGGCAUGGAGGCAUGAACAGCACAGCAUGUGUAUGUAGGGCGGCCAGUCUGGAAAAGCAGACAGCUUUGUGCAGAGAGGGCCUUGUAGGUUGUGUGGAGGAGACCACAUUUUAACCUCAGGGCAAUGGGAAGUCAUUGAAGGUUUGGGAGGUGUGGGGGUCUGUUUUGUGUGUGUACCAUUUAAUCAUUCUGCAAAGUGUACUGAGUGCCCCUUAAGUGGGGGUGCUUUCUAAGGCAUCAUCCUACAAUUAUUCACUGAAAAGAAUGUAAGGCCCCCUGUUAUCUACUCAGUAUUCUAAACUCUCCCUAUAUCUCAUUUAAUCCUCACGAAAGUAUCCAUGAAAUAGAUACAAUUGUUAUCCUCAUUGAACAGAUCAGGAACCUGAGGCUUGAAGAAGUUAGAUGACCUGGUUAAGGCCACUUGACUGGAUUCAAACCCUGCCUGACUCCACAUGACUCCUUUGGGCAGCAUCGUGUGACCACACCACGUAAGAUCUAGGUCCUGCCUUGGAGAGCUGAUGAACCAAACCAGCAGGAAGGUAGACAAGUCCUGAUAAGGACACUUAAAAAAAUAAUAAUAUGGGUCUUGCUCCGUCACUCAGGUUGGAGUGCAGUGGUGCAAUCACAGCUCAGUGCAGUCUCAACCUCCCAGGCUCAAGUAAUCCUCCCACCUUGGCCUCCCAAAGUGCUGGGAUUAUAGACCUCAGACAUGGUACCCAGCCCUGAGAAGGACUUUGAUGAAAAAGUACAUGGUGUGUGGUGAGAGUGGCUCCCAGAGGAGGGGUUGAGUUGUAUUCCAGCAGGGUUAGUUGGAUAGGGGCGGAGGGAAAGUUCAGGACAAGAGAACAUCUCACAAAAGUGAGAACUUGUAGAAUAUCCUGACUUGUUAGGUGAAUUGUAGGCAGUCUUUAUGUGGUCAUAUGUGUUGGGGGCAGGAUGGGGAAGGCGAAUUCGGUCAGAUGCCGCCAACGAGGCAGCAGGAGCCAGAGCACUAAAGGCCUUGAGUGCUGACCUAAGGGAUUGAAAUUCCUCCUGCAAGUAGCAGGGGGCUACUGAAGCUUGAAGUGAGGUAUGACACAAUCUCAUUUUCAUCUUACAAGCUCAUUUUCAUGACUGCAAUAUGGGCAAGAAAGACAGGGUAGUCCAUUGAGUAGAUUAUUCCAGAAAUCCAAGUUGGAUGUAAUGCAACUUGCUGAACCACUGAACCAGAGCAGUGGUUACGAAGAUGUGGAGGAUAGAUUCAAGAGCUAGAAAAGAGAUAGAGGGAUCAGGACUUGGAGUGGUUUCUUUAUUCAUUGAUUCGUCCAUUCAAAAAAUACCUGUUGUGGCUGGGUGUGGUGG